rnacentral:lncRNA from 1 species
UUGUGUGUGACCCAUUGGGUUCCAUACUUAGCCAGCAAUAGGUGUGAGUGCGAGUUGACCCAACUUGAUUAGAACUCUUCUAAUCGAUUUAAGUCUAAACUGCGCGAACCCGAACUUAACAAUUAGAAUCCUUUCUAAUUGGUGACCGAAUUAAACUCUUUAAUUCGAUCAAACCUAUAAGACAAGAUUGACGUCUAGCAACGUGUCAUGUCUACCCGGAAAAUAUGGAAUUUGGUGGAAAUACCAAAAAUAUCCUUCAGUGGCAAGUUACCAUGCAAUUCAAUCCUUUAAUCAAACUGCAUCCCAAAUAUGUAUAUGAGUAUGAAUAUAUGUCAAACUCAAUUUCAUAUUCAUAUUUUUCUCAAUUUUUUAAUGAUAAUUCAAAUAAUAAAAUAUUAGAAACUCUUUCUAAUUUUCAUUCUGCUUUGAUCAAAGGCUUCCUGAAUUAUCAUAUGAUUAGAAUAAAUAGGAUG